rnacentral:rRNA from 1 species
GACGAACGCUGGCGGCGUGCCUAAUACAUGCAAGUCGAACGCUGAAGCGAGGAGCUUGCUCUUUUCGCAUGAGUUGCGCACGGGUGAGUAACGCGUAGGUAACCUGCCUUGCAGCGGGGGAUAACUAUUGGAAACGAUAGCUAAUACCGUAUAAUAAUGGAUGACACAUGUCUUUUUUUUGAAAGGGGCAAUUGCUCCACUACAUGAUGGAUCUGCGUCGUAUUAGCUAGUAGGUGAGGUAACGGCUCUCCUAGGCGACGAUACGUAGCCGACCUGAGAGGGUGGGCAGCCACACUGGGACGGAGACACGGCCCAGACUCCUACGGGAAGCGGCAAGAGGGGAACUUCAGGCAUUGGGGCAACCCUUACCGGGCAACGCCGCAUGAGUAAAGAAGGUUGUCGGGUCGGAAAUCUCUGUUGUAAGUCAAGAACGAGUGUUAGAAUGGAAAGUGCACUCAGUGACGGUAGCUUAUCAGAAAGGAACGGCUAACUACGUG